rnacentral:rRNA from 1 species
AUUGAACGCUGGCGGCAGGCCUAACACAUGCAAGUCGAACGAGUGGCGGACGGGUGAGUAAUGUCUGGGAAACUGCCUGAUGGAGGGGAAUAACUACUGUAAACGGUAGCUAAUACCGCAUAACAUCAGAUGUUCCCAGAUGGGAUUAGCUUGUAGGUGGGGUAACGGCUCACCAAGGCGACGAUCCCUAGCUGUUCUGAGAGGAUGACCAUCCAAACUGGAACUGAUACACGGUCCAGACUCCUACGGGAGGAAGCAGGGGGGAAUAUUGCACUAUGGGCGCAAGCCUGAUGCAGCCAUGCCGCGUGUAUGAAGAAGGCCGUCGGGUUGUAAAGUACUUUCAGCUGGGAGGCGUUACCCGCACAAGAAGCACCGGCUAACUCCGUGCCAGCAGCCGCGGUAAUAC